rnacentral:rRNA from 1 species
UACGGGGGGGGCAAGCGUUGUUCGGAAUUACUGGGCGUAAAGGGCUCGUAGGCGGCCAACUAAGUCAGACGUGAAAUCCCUCGGCUUAACCGGGGAACUGCGUCUGAUACUGGAUGGCUUGAGUGUGGGAGAGGGAUGCGGAAUUCCAGGUGUAGCGGUGAAAUGCGUAGAUAUCUGGAGGAACACCGGUGGCGAAGGCGGCAUCCUGGACCGACACUGACACUGAGGAGCGAAAGCCAGGGGAGCAAACGGG